rnacentral:rRNA from 1 species
UAAUACGAAGGGGGCUAGCGUUACUCGGAAUUAUUGGGCGUAAAGCGUGCGCAGGCGGUAAUGUAAGUUGGUAGUGAAAUCCUGGGGCUUAACCUCAGAACUGCUGCCAAUACUGCAUAACUAGAGUGUAGGAGGGGAUGAUGGAAUUCCUAGUGUAGAGGUGAAAUUCGUAGAUAUUAGGAGGAACACCGGUGGCGAAAGCGAUCAUCUGGCCGAACACUGACGCUGUUGCACGAAAGCGUGGGGAGCAAACAGG